rnacentral:rRNA from 1 species
GCUUCAGUAGUAUAUAUCAAUAUUGUUGCAGUUAAAAAAGCUCGUAGUUGGAUUACAAAAGUCAGGCGUUUGUCAAACAAUAGCUUGGUGAAUGUCGGGCUUUUUGAUCGCAAGGACUGCUUGUGCAUUUAAUCGUUUGCGGAUGACCACUUACAGAGUGUGUCUUGAAUAAAGAACAGUGCUCAAAGCAAGCUUAACGC